AAAAAGGUGACAAUAAAAGUAUUACCAACAAUCACAAAACUAAGAAAACAGAAGGUGAGUCAGGAAGGAGCUGCCUAUAUAAAGUAGUCCCAGCAAAGGCACAAUACCAAACAAUUUCCAGGAAACUGUGUUGCAUCAUUUCUCCCGGUCUGAGGACAACUUGGCCACUCUAUUUACAAUGGUUCUGGCUGCAUGUGAGUAUUAACAAAACUUGGUUUAAAUACUGUUUAGAAUAGAAUAGAAUAGAAUGCCUUUAUUGUCACUGUACACAUGUACGAUGAGAUUAAAUAGCCAACUCCAAUCCAUUUAUGAUGUUACGACUGUUUUGUCUUUAUAUCUGAUAUUUUCUAUAAUUCAGUGUUUUCAAAGCAGGUUUAUUUAACGUGGUAGAUACCUCGGAACGGGAAAAUUAAGUAAAUAAGCAGGCAUAUAACUUGGGUACUUCUUGAGUAAUUGUUUUACAUGCAUAUGGUUCAACAUUUAUUGUCAUUUCUUGAUAUCUCUAGAGGAGAGGGAUCUAUUUGAUAAAAUGUCCCGACGGAGUGGCUCCAAAGAAAGAAUCAGCGGUCAGACCACCUGCAAAAUACAGAGUAUACAGGAGAAAUAUCAGAAAAUGGUGCACCAAGCUGUGACAGGGCCCUGCCUUUCACUCGACAAUAAAAGAUACAGGGAUACUUCCUGUACAUUCAUCAGCACCGGAUAGAGCCCCAGAACCUGCAGCCCCUUCCAGUCCUAUUUUGAUCACAGAUACUCCAGUGUCCAGACCCACUGGCAAUCAGUAUCCAUCCACUCCAGAAGAUCCUGAAUCACCUAUUGUGAUCCCUGAGGGUCAGGACUUGAGAGCAGCAGUGGAAUUAUCGACACUGGGGAACAUUCUUCAUCACACAAUGGACUCUCCCUCUACAGGCAAAGUCUGAUACAGGAAUAUGUCCUGUACAGUCAUCAGCACCAGAUACUCCAUCCAUUCUAGGAGGUCCUGAACCAUCUUUUGUGAUUCCCAACACCCAGGACUUGAGAGCGGUAGCAGAAUUAUUGACCCAGGGGAACGUUCUUCUUCACACACAAACUCCAGAACCUGCAUGUCUGCCGAACUGGACUGAUGCACAGAUACAGGACAGAGGCCACAGAACAACCUGCUCACAGUGAGAAUCCAUGCAACACACUGCUGGUACAAAGAGCAAGAGUGCAACAGCCGCAUCAAAGCAAGAUUUUAAAAUACACAAGAUGAGUUUGAUGGUCUGCUAAUGCGAACCAGAGCGCAACUGUUGACAUUUAGAACAACAAAGUCUGUGGUUGUAUACAAUGCAAAGAGAUUAGCCAAUAUUGCUUUAAAACAAGUAGGGAAAAGCCAGUAAAUUUAAAAAGAAAUUGGUCAUCUUAGAAAGGAGGUAAGAGUGAUGAAGGAAAUACUGAUAGAUGCAGAAGUAAAUGAGUAGCAUGUGUUAUUAUGCAAAAUAAUAAUUAGUGUCUGAUAUCCCCUAUUUUAUUUCGUAGUGUUUAAUCAUGGCUUGUUAAUGUUUACACAAAGUAAAACAACAAACGAUGUGUUAUUGUGAUUAGUGAUGAUGAAAGCCAUACUGAAAAUUAUGAAUCCAAAAGCAUUUCAGAUGUAAAGGAGGAAAUUAGGCAAAUGGUUAAUGAUAUAGUGAAGUAAAUUGGCUUGAAUAUGACCCAUUAUCCCCACUCAGCAGUUUAUCUGCUGUUGAAGAUGAACUGGGCAAAAUAGAAGAGGAGAUUGUGGAAUUGACCACUGCACAGAGUCUUCUGCAACAGAGUUUGCUGAACCAGAUACAAAAACCCACACCCCUCAUCACAAGUCUCAGAAUGUGUAGAGUCAAAUCCCAAAGUCCAAAAUGUAGUAAAACAUAAGUUAGGAGAGGUUUUAGCAGAGGCGUUCUAAAUUUUGUACUGAGAGGUCCAUCAGUGUCCAAAGAUGUGUGUGCAGUAUUAAAAACAUCUAACAGCUGUAAUACUGAAACAUUUUUGAGUGAAAUUGAACAGGUCAUGCAAAGCAAUUAAAAAAUGACGUCAGAUGAUAUGCUUUAGAUCGUUGUCACAGCAGCAUUAGGCAAACGUGGUGGUGUGAUGCGCAAAUUGGGAAAUGUCAGCUGAUGAUCAGAUUAUUCAAAAGAAAACAGGCAUGUCUCUGUGUUUCUCUGUGUGUAGCCCGUUAUAAGUACCCUCACAAAUGAAAUCAAGCACAAGUGGGAUUUGCCUCAAAUCAUAAAGUCUCACUAACAGAUGGGUAAAAAUUUGAACAUAUUGGUGUUAAAAUUCUUGUUUUUCACCACAAUCAAGGAACGAAGAAAUUGGACAUGUAUCAAACCCAAGAACAACCCCAUCCAAAAACACUAUGGCUUUAUCUGUACCAGGAUCAGUACCACAUUACAAGUAUUUCUGCUGUCUAUGACACACACAACAGGAUUUAAAACCCAUACGCUGUCAUUGUCGUUGUGAGUGUUUUGUCUUAACAGACACAAAGAAGUGACAGAAUCCAUAAACCGUGAAAGAUUCAUACCAUGUAAUAACAUUAAAUAUUGUGAUGAUUGCGGUAGCCUCUCCUCAGUAAGUCACCAAACAAACGCUGCAGGUCAUAAAUGCCAAAAACCGAAUGUGGUCAAUACAGAAAUCUGUUAGGCUCAAACAUACAACAUCAGUGUUAUAUACGAUCUGAAUAACCACCAAAGCCACAGACUUAAUAUGUCUCUUUGACUUUGAAACAACAACACACAUCAACAAACAUGUAGCCAACUUUGUCUGUGCAACCAAAAAUGGUGGACCUCUUGUGCAACUUCAAGACAAUCUGUGUAAAGAAUGUGUUAAGACAUUCCUAAAACGAAACCAAGAUGCUUCAGGCUACCCCAGUUUUGCAAAAGAUGAGGAAUCAAAAGCAAAAUACAUACAGGACUACUACGACAAAGAGGGGAUUCAGCUAAAUCCAGAAAAAAUUGCUGUUGCUCAAUUCUUUAUGGGGUUGUUUUUCAAUGCAGGAAAACCAGGUCACAUGUGAGCUAGUAAAAGAUCCUGAGCAAUUCACAUGUUUAUUGACCAGUAUGACGUCAGACAGUUUUCAUUUGUGUCUGAUCACAUUGCCCUUGUUCAGUGGAGACAUGCAGUAGCACAGGCUGCUAAAACUAAAAAUAUUAACUUCAUCGGGGGAAUGACAACACCAUAUGCACGACUUAUGCUCUAUGACGUGAUGGACAGGUUAGGGGAGAGAUCCAUCUAUUCUGACACAGACAGUGUUGUUUUUGUGUCAAAGGUUGCAGACUGGGCCCCCGAAACAGGUCGCUUUUUAGGGGACCUUACCGAUGAGGUUAAUGGAGAUACUGGAGACUACGACUACAUUGUUGUGUUUGAGUCAGGGGGUCCGUAAUGCUACGCUCAUCGGACACUCCAAAACAAUACCCAAUUGAAAUGGCAAGGGAACCACUCUAAACGCUCACAAUGCUUCUGUCGUCACACAUGAUGCCCUUGUGAGCCUUGUUUACAGGUUUGCGAGCCUUGUCAUGACAACACAAACUAUAAUGACAAAGUCAGACGCAAAUAAAAAGGCAUUCGAACUGGAAAACAAAUCAGUUGAAAAAAGAUUCCAAGUUGUGUACACCAAACGCCGUAUCUUUUCUGAUCGGACAACAUUGCCCUACAGCUCCUGAUAUGGGAGUUAGAGAAAUUGAAGAUUUUGAUUUUAGACUGCAACAUCCUUUUAGUCUAAUUGUACCAGGUCCCUCAAACAGCAGAAAAACAUAUUUUUUAAGAAAGCUAAUGGAAAAUGCAGACAAAUUGAUUUCAAAGAGCAUUGACAUUAUUGUAUAUAUUUAUUCAUUCUGGCAACCUUUGUACAAUGAUUUGAUGAAAAUAAGAAACUUUAAUUUUGU